CAUGAGUAGCGACAAAGAGUGUGAGAGACACUCUCGCCGAAAGUCCAAGGGUUCCUGCUUAAAGCUAAUCUGAGCAGGGUAAGCCGACCCCUAAGGCGAGGCCGAAAGGCGUAGUCGAUGGGAACCAGGUUAAUAUUCCUGGGCCAGGAGGAUGUGACGGAUUGUGGCGGCGUGCGUGCCUUAUCGGAUUGGCGCGUAUCCAAGACAGUCCCUGGAAAUAGCCCUCCAUUAGAUCGUACCCUAAACCGACACAGGUGGACUGGUAGAGAAUACCAAGGCGCUUGAGAGAACUAUGUUGAAGGAACUCGGCAAAAUACCUCCGUAAGUUCGCGAGAAGGAGGCCCGGCGUAAGAGCGUCGGGGGCACAAACCAGGGGGUGGCGACUGUUUAUUAAAAACACAGGGCUCUGCGAAGUCGCAAGACGACGUAUAGGGUCUGACGCCUGCCCGGUGCCGGAAGGUUAAAAGG
rnacentral:rRNA from 1 species